rnacentral:tRNA from 1 species
GCAGUCUUGGCUAAGUGGUUAAGGCGAUGGACAAGAAAUCCAUUGGGGUCUCCCCGCACAGGUUCGAAUCCUGUCGACUGCG